UACGAAGGGGCUAGCGUUGCUCGGAAUCACUGGCGUAAAGCGCACGUAGGCGGACUCUUAAGUCAGGGGUGAAAUCCUGGAGCUCAACUCCAGAACUGCCUUUGAUACUGGAGUCUUGAGUUCGGGAGAGGUGAGUGGAACUGCGAGUGUAGAGGUGAAAUUCGUAGAUAUUCGGAAGAACACCAGUGGCGAAGGCGACUCGCUGGACAAUAUUGAACGCUGAGGUGCGAAAGCGUGGGAGCAAACAGG
rnacentral:rRNA from 1 species